AUUCCCGUAACGCGGUUGCCGGCGUCCCGGAUUCGGGUCGCUGCGUCCGCGUCGUCUCUCCCAGAUGAGAUCGAAGGAUUCUCCCCGCCUCCCCUCUGCUGGCGGAAGGAGCAGAAUGUUCCAUUUUUCCGUGGAAAAACGGGGUCGUGAACUGAAGUCCGGGUGCUGCCCGCGUCUGCCGUCCUCCCUUCUUGCCGUGGCCUCUUCGGCCUCCCUUCGAGGCCUUCCCCAGGGUACUCAGAGCCGCGAGGGACAGCCGGGAGUCCUUGGGGACCGUCAUCUUCAACUUCACUCAUAUCAGGAACCCACAGAUGUAGCCACACCUUGAAGCCAGUCAUCAGAUGAAAUUACUCCAUCUGCAAAAUUUUCGCUUGCCCUGAGAAACUCACAGCAAAAGAAUGCAAAAGAGGGACUUUCCUGGCGGUGCAGUGGUUAAGAAUCCACCUGCCAAUGCACGGGACACGAGUUCGAGCCCUGGCCUGGGAAGAUCCCACAUGCCAC